rnacentral:lncRNA from 1 species
UUUGAUUCAGGUUGACCUAUGCUGGGGGGGAAAUAAGAUUUACAUACUCCAGGCAGGUGUCAGGAGCUAUAAUAACUAGUGAGAUCUGGAUGCCCAUGAACGGAUAGUGUGGAUAUGAUAAAAUACAGUAGAAAAGACCAACAAUUAGGGCAACAUUGUCCAGCAUUGGUGCUGAUGCUUAGUACUUCAAGAUCUUCGUUAAUAAGAAAAUUAUUUAGAGACACUGCAGUCAAUAGGCAAUGAAAGUGCUCAUCACCUCAGUAUAAGCGACCUUUUACUUAUAUGCCUCAUCACAGAUUAAGGACUUUGGCCUCUGUGUUAGAAAAUGUUGGCCUUGGAUUAUGAGCUGAAGUGUGUUGCAAUUCCUUUUCUAGCAUAGGAAGAUUCUGUGGUAGCUGCUGACUGCAAGUGAAGGCACUUAUCUAUGCCUGUUAUUCUGUAACUUGCUGUCCUUAUGAAGAAUUCAUUUUACAAGGGAUUAGUAGAAAUCAGCUAUUUUUGCUUGGCAAAACAAGGGCUGACAGCGGAUGUGAUUGCUGACUGCAAAUAUACCAAGAAGAGGUAAACCUCAGAGAGCUGAGAAGAGCUAUUUAAGCUAAAAAUAACCUUGACACAUGAACAAACAUACACUAACCAGCCCUGAAUAAAAUYAGGAAAAGAAGUAGGUUACCAAUAAUCCAAACAAUGAAGGUGCUGGAAGAACUUUCUGAUAGAAGAAAUGCAAGCAGAAUGCCAAAGUGCUUUUUGGAUGGAGUUUAACCAGCACCUGAAAGGGAAUAGGUAAGAGGAUUGCAUGUUGCUGUGUCUAGACUGUGGGGCCUGGGCUUACUCCCAUGUCAGGAYGAAACUCAGUUGGUUUUGUACCGAACAACGUCCUUAUUCCUUUGAGGAGCAACUCCCCAUCAGACAAAGACAAAGUCCUGUGGAGACAGUCACCACAUUGCUUGGGUAUCGUGCUCAGCAACUUGCCUCAGGAAGCAAGAAGCAAAGACCCUGGUAUCACCAUCACCAAGAGGAGACUCUUUUCACUGUCCUUGCUGACAGCUGAUUUCUCCUCAGAAGACUGUAGUAAGCUUGACUGUUGACCAGUUUGUAACUUGUUCCUCUAAGACGCAUAUCAAACCAUGGUAAG